rnacentral:tRNA from 1 species
GCCUGGGUGGCUCAGUCGGUUGGGCAUCUGACUUUGGCUCAGGUCGUGAUCUCACGGUUCGAGUGGGUUCGAGCCCCGCGUCGGGCU